GCCCCGGUAGCUCAGUCGGAUAGAGCGACCGCCUCCUAAGCGGUAGGCCAGCGGUUCGAUUCCGCUCCGGGGCACCA
rnacentral:tRNA from 1 species